rnacentral:rRNA from 1 species
UACGUAGGGGGCAAGCGUUGUCCGGAUUUAUUGGGCGUAAAGAGCGUGUAGGCGGCUAGAUAGGUCCGUUGUGAAAACUCGAGGCUCAACCUCGAGACGUCGAUGGAAACCAUCUGGCUAGAGUCCGGAAGAGGAGAGUGGAAUUCCAGGUGUAGCGGUGAAAUGCGCAGAUAUCGGGAGGAACACCAGUAGCGAAGGCGGCUCGCUGGGCCACACCUGACGCUGAGACGCGAAAGCUAGGGGAGCGAACAGG